rnacentral:rRNA from 1 species
UACGGUAGGGCGCAAGCGUUGUCCGGAAUUAUUGGGCGUAAAGGAGCUCGUAGGUGGCUUGUCACGUCGGGUGUGAAGCUUGGGGCUUAACUCCAGGUCUGCAUUCGAUACGGGCUGGCUAGAGGUAGGUAGGGGAGAACGGAAUUCCUGGUGUAGCGGUGAAAUGCGCAGAUAUCAGGAGGAACACCGGUGGCGAAGGCGGGUCUCUGGGCCGAUACUGACGCUGAGGAGCGAAAGCGUGGGGAGCGAACAGG